rnacentral:rRNA from 1 species
AUUGAACGCUGGCGGCAGGCCUAACACAUGCAAGUCGAGCGGAUGAAGGGAGCUUGCUCCUGGAUUCAGCGGCGGACGGGUGAGUAAUGCCUAUGAAUCUGCCUGGUAGUGGGGGAUAACGUCCGGAAACGGGCGCUAAUACCGCAUACGUCCUGAGGGAGAAAGUGGGGGAUCUUCGGACCUCACGCUAUCAGAUGAGCCUAGGUCGGAUUAGCUAGUUGGUGGGGUAAAGGCCUACCAAGGCGACGAUCCGUAACUGGUCUGAGAGGAUGAUCAGUCACACUGGAACUGAGACACGGUCCAGACUCCUACGGGAGGCAGCAGUGGGGAAUAUUGGACAAUGGGCGAAAGACUGAUCCAGCCAUGCCGCGUGUGUGAAGAAGGUCUUCGGAUUGUAAAGCACUUUAAGUUGGGAGGAAGGGCAGUAAGUUAAUACCUUGCUGUUUUGACGUUACCAACAGAAUAAGCACCGGCUAACUUCGUG